UACGUAGGGGGCAAGCGUUGUCCGGAAUCAUUGGGCGUAAAGCGCGUUUAGGCGGUUCGGUAAGUCUGCUAUGAAAGUCCGGGGCUCAACUCCGGAUCUGCGGUGGGUACGGGCAGACUAGAGUGAUGUAGGGGAGACUGGAAUUCCUGGUGUAGCGGUGAAAUGCGCAGAUAUCAGGAGGAACACCGAUGGCGAAGGCAGGUCUCUGGGCAUUAACUGACGCUGAGGAGCGAAAGCAUGGGGAGCGAACAGG
rnacentral:rRNA from 1 species